GUUCAUACACAACCUAGAAAAUUAUGAUAUUCGUUUCAUUUGACAUUUUGACAUUUGAAGAAGUAUAGAAACAAUUUUACAUUUAGGAGAUUCUACUUGGUCUUGCUGAUGACUGUAGCAUAUUUUGCAUGACUAUUGGCUACCCUGAGGAUGACACAAAUUGGUCUCGAAAUAGGUAAAUAGGUAUUCGCUAAAAAAUUCUUUCAAUUACCAUUUGUCCUCCUACGCCGCUUUGAGUACCGGAUUGAAAAAAUUGAAGAAUACCAAGAGUACCAAGAAGAAUUUGAAGAGAACUGUUCAAAUCAGGAAUUUUAUGAGGGCACUUAUAGGAGAACGAAAAGGAAAAACUCCUUGUGUAGAUGUGAAACAAUCCAGGACUACCCCUGACAUGAAAGAAGAUAAAAAAGGUACUAUUAGCAAAAAUUACAUAAUUGUAAGAAAAAAUCCUGGAAUAUGUGAUAACGUUACAGAAAAAUAUGUAGAAUAUAAAAAACCCAAUUCGUCAGGAGUAAAUCUGAAUGUAGGUUCGACGAAGGCUGUAAUAUUCAAAAAAACCCUGGAUAAGAUACCUUUUGCAAAAAAAGAAAAAAUUUGUAGUUCAAACUGUUCAAAAUAAAUAAUUUCGAAAAAAAAACACCAAUUUCGGGAAUAAAACCUUAUUCAGUUUUCGUUUCACCACCCAGGGCAAUAUAUUCUGAAUGACAUGUAUACCGAAAAGACAAAAGUACUAAUUUAAGUAUCAUAUGAAGGGAAAUCUACUAAACAUAUUGGGCCUAAUGUCGAAGAACCUAAUAACUGAAUUUAAAGCAGAUAUAAUAUGCUACAAUUCCAUAAUACGUUCUAUGAAUUUUUU